AUUGAACGCUGGCGGCAGGCUUAACACAUGCAAGUCGAGCGGUAGCACAGGGGAGCUUGCUCCCUGGGUGACGAGCGGCGGACGGGUGAGUAAUGUCUGGGAAACUGCCUGAUGGAGGGGGAUAACUACUGGAAACGGUAGCUAAUACCGCAUAACGUCGCAAGACCAAAGAGGGGGACCUUCGGGCCUCUUGCCAUCAGAUGUGCCCAGAUGGGAUUAGCUAGUAGGUGGGGUAAUGGCUCACCUAGGCGACGAUCCCUAGCUGGUCUGAGAGGAUGACCAGCCACACUGGAACUGAGACACGGUCCAGACUCCUACGGGAGGCAGCAGUGGGGAAUAUUGCACAAUGGGCGCAAGCCUGAUGCAGCCAUGCCGCGUGUGUGAAGAAGGCCUUCGGGUUGUAAAGCACUUUCAGCGAGGAGGAAGGUGGUGAACUUAAUACGUUCAUCAAUUGACGUUACUCGCAGAAGAAGCACCGGCUAACUCCGUGCCAGCAGCCGCGGUAAUACGGAGGGUGCAAGCGUUAAUCGGAAUUACUGGGCGUAAAGCGCACGCAGGCGGUUUGUUAAGUCAGAUGUGAAAUCCCCGGGCUCAACCUGGGAACUGCAUUUGAAACUGGCAAGCUAGAGUCUCGUAGAGGGGGGGUAGAAUUCCAGGUGUAGCGGUGAAAUGCGUAGAGAUCUGGAGGAAUACCGGUGGCGAAGGCGGCCCCCUGGACGAAGACUGACGCUCAGGUGCGAAAGCGUGGGGAGCAAACAGGAUUGGAUACCCUGGUAGUCCACGCUGUAAACGAUGUCGAUUUGGAGGUUGUGCCCUUGAGGCGUGGCUUCCGGAGCUAACGCGUUAAAUCGACCGCCUGGGGAGUACGGCCGCAAGGUUAAAACUCAAAUGAAUUGACGGGGGCCCGCACAAGCGGUGGAGCAUGUGGUUUAAUUCGAUGCAACGCGAAGAACCUUACCUACUCUUGACACCCAGAGAACUUUCCAGAGAUGGAUUGGUGCCUUCGGGAACUCUGAGACAGGUGCUGCAUGGCUGUCGUCAGCUCGUGUUGUGAAAUGUUGGGUUAAGUCCCGCAACGAGCGCAACCCUUAUCCUUUGUUGCCAGCGGUUCGGCCGGGAACUCAAAGGAGACUGCCAGUGAUAAACUGGAGGAAGGUGGGGAUGACGUCAAGUCAUCAUGGCCCUUACGAGUAGGGCUACACACGUGCUACAAUGGCAUAUACAAAGAGAAGCGACCUCGCGAGAGCAAGCGGACCUCAUAAAGUAUGUCGUAGUCCGGAUUGGAGUCUGCAACUCGACUCCAUGAAGUCGGAAUCGCUAGUAAUCGUAGAUCAGAAUGCUACGGUGAAUACGUUCCCGGGCCU
rnacentral:rRNA from 1 species